UGACUGGCCGUUUGACUCUGGAUAUCUU
rnacentral:piRNA from 1 species